rnacentral:rRNA from 1 species
UAAAGCUACAAAGAGCUAAUGGGGAAUGCCUUGGUACUGACAGCCGACGAAGGACGUGUAAAGCUGCGAUAAGCCACGGGGAACUGCUAAAAGGUCUUGAUCCGUGGAAAUCCGAAUGGGGAAACCCUCCAGAGUUAAAACUUUGGAACCCGUAACUGAAUACAUAGGUUGCGCGGAGGAAAGCCUGUGAACUGAAACAUCUUAGUAACAGGACGAAGAGAAAAUAAACCAAUGAUUCCGAGAGUAGCGGCGAGCGAAAUUGGAAGAGCCUAAAUUGUGUGUACGUGAUAGCCUGCAAGCGUUGUGCACAUGAGGUUGUGGGACUUGCAUCAUAUUUUGCAGAAUAUGGAUUGAGUUAGAAAAUUAUUUAUUAGUUAAAGUCAACUGGGAAGUUGCGCCAUAGAGAGUGAUAGCCUCGUAAACGACAAUAAAUAAUCUCAAGUAAGUAUCCCGAGUAAGGCGGGGCACGUGAAACCCUGUCUGAAUCCACCGGGACCAUCCGGUAAGGCUAAAUACUAGUCAGUGACCGAUAGUGAACGAGUACAGUGAUGGAAAGGCGAAAAGAACAGUGAGAAGCUGAGUGAAAUAGACCCUGAAACCGUUAGCUUACAACCAGUCAGAGCACAAUUAAUUGUGUGAUGGCGUGCCUGUUGAAGAAUGAGCCGGCGAGUUAUUUUUUGUUGCGAGGUUAAGGAGAUCAUAUCCGGAGCCACAGGGAAACCGAGUCUGAAUAGGGCGUUAAGUAACAGGAAAUAGACCCGAACCUUGGUGAUCUAACCUUGACCAGGAUGAAGCGUAGGUAACACUACGUGGAGGUCCGAACCGACUGAUGUUGAAAAAUCAGCGGAUGAGUUGAGGUUAGGGGUGAAAUGCCAAUCGAACCAAGAGCUAGCUGGUUCUCCCCGAAAUGCGUUUAGGCACAGCGUUGGAUUUAUCUUGCAGGAGGUAGAGCACUGGUUUUGUGCGGGCGUCGAAAUGAUGUACCAAACAAUGUCAAACUCCGAAUACCUGUAAUGUCAUUAUCCAGCAGUGAGGCUAUGAGUGAUAAGAUCCAUGGCCAAGAGGGAAACAGCCCAGAACGCCAGUUAAGGUCCCAAAUAUAUGCUAAGUGGUUAAGGAGGUAGAGAUGCAGAGACAACCAGGAGGUUGGCUUAGAAGCAGCCACCCAUUCAAAGAGUGCGUAAUAGCUCACUGGUCAAGCGUCUCCGCGCCGAAAAUACACCGGGACUAAAGCAUAUAACCGAAGCUGCGUCAUAUAGUUUACUAUAUGGGUAGGGGAGCGUACUGUAGUAAGACGAAGCUAGAGUGAAAACACUAGUGGAUGAGGCAGUAGUGAGAAUGUCGGCAUAAGUAGCGAAAACAUUGGUGAGAAUCCAAUGCACCGAAAACCUAAGGUUUCCCACGGCAGGCUCGUCCGCGUGGGGUUAGUCGGAUCCUAAGCUCAGGCCAAACGGCGUAGGCGAUGGACAAUAGGUUGAUAUUCCUAUACUAUCUGAUAAUCGUUAUCAGAAGCGGAGGGACGCAAGAGGAUAAGCACGCAGUCGAAUGGAAGAGACUGUAUAAGCGUGUAGCUAGGUUUGACAGGAAAAUCCGUCAAAUCGUUAAUGUGAGGCGUGAUGUGGAGAGUCUACGGACUCGAAGGUGUUGACUCCAAAUUGCCAAGAAAAUCUUCGCUCUCGAGAUUAUUGGGUAUCCGUACCGUAAACCGCCACAGGUAGGUUGGUAGAAAAUACUAAGGUGCGCGAGACAACUCUCGCUAAGGAACUCGGCAAAAUCACCUCGUAACUUCGGGAGAAGAGGUACCCUGGUAGCGUGAAGCGAUUUACUCGUGAAGCGUGAUAGGGUCGCAGUGAAUAGGCCCAAGCGACUGUUUACCAAAAACACAGGUCUCUGCUAAGUCGAUCAAGACGAUGUAUAGGGGCUGACGCCUGCCCGGUGUCGGAAGGUUACGCGGAAAUGUUAGAAGCAAUUCAAAGCAUCGAAGCUAAGCCCCGAUGAACGGCGGCCGUAACUAUAACGGUCCUAAGGUAGCGAAAUUCCUUGUCAGGUA